rnacentral:rRNA from 1 species
CCUACGGUGGGCAGCAGUGAGGAAUAUUGGUCAAUGGGCGGGAGCCUGAACCAGCCAAGUCGCGUGAGGGAAGACGGUCCUCUGGAUUGUAAACCUCUUUAGGCGGGGAGCAAUGCCGGGCACGUGUGCCCGGAGGGAGAGUACCCGCAGAAUAAGCAUCGGCUAACUCCGUACCAGCAGCCGCGGUAAUACGGAGGAUGCUAGCGUUAUCCGGAUUUAUUGGGUUUAAAGGGUGCGUAGGCGGAUUUUUAAGUCAGCGGUAAAAUGUCCGGGCUCAACCCGGGCCGGCCGUUGAUACUGGGGAACGUGAGUGGGAGAGAAGGAAGCGGAAUGCGUGGUGAAGCGGUGAAAUGCAGAGAUAUCACGAAGAACUCCGAUUGCGAAGGCAGCAUACCGGCGCCCGACUGACGCUGAGGCACGAAAGCGUGGGGAUCGAACAGGAUUAGAUACCCUAGUAGUC